UACGUAUGGGGCAAGCGUUAUCCGGAUUCAUUGGGCGUAAAGCGCGCGUAGGCGGCUUGUUAAGCGAGGAGUGAAAUCUGGGGGCUCAACCCGCAGCUUGCUUCUCGAACUGGCAGGCUUGAGUCUGGUAGAGGAAAGUGGAAUUCCUGGUGUAGCGGUGAAAUGCGCAGAUAUCAGGAGGAACACCAGUGGCGAAGGCGGCUUUCUGGGCCACGACUGACGCUGAGGCGCGAAAGCUAGGGGAGCGAACAGG
rnacentral:rRNA from 1 species